rnacentral:rRNA from 1 species
CACGUAGGGUGCGAGCGUUGUCCGGAAUUAUUGGGCGUAAAGAGCUCGUAGGCGGUGUGUCGCGUCGGCCGUGAAAACCUGCAGCUUAACUGUGGGCGUGCGGUCGAUACGGGCAUCACUGGAGUUCGGCAGGGGAGACUGGAAUUCCUGGUGUAGCGGUGAAAUGCGCAGAUAUCAGGAGGAACACCAGUGGCGAAGGCGGUUUCCUGGGGCAUUCUUGACGCUGAGGCGCGAAAGCUGGGGGAGCGAACGGG